GGGUUGUGAGGUUAAGCGACUAAGCGUACACGGUGGAUGCCCUGGCAGUCAGAGGCGAUGAAGGACGUGCUAAUCUGCGAUAAGCGUCGGUAAGGUGAUAUGAACCGUUAUAACCGGCGAUUUCCGAAUGGGGAAACCCAGUGUGUUUCGACACACUAUCAUUAACUGAAUCCAUAGGUUAAUGAGGCGAACCGGGGGAACUGAAACAUCUAAGUACCCCGAGGAAAAGAAAUCAACCGAGAUUCCCCCAGUAGCGGCGAGCGAACGGGGAGCAGCCCAGAGCCUGAAUCAGUGUGUGUGUUAGUGGAAGCGUCUGGAAAGGCGCGCGAUACAGGGUGACAGCCCCGUACACAAAAAUGCACAUGCUGUGAGCUCGAUGAGUAGGGCGGGACACGUGGUAUCCUGUCUGAAUAUGGGGGGACCAUCCUCCAAGGCUAAAUACUCCUGACUGACCGAUAGUGAACCAGUACCGUGAGGGAAAGGCGAAAAGAACCCCGGCGAGGGGAGUGAAAAAGAACCUGAAACCGUGUACGUACAAGCAGUGGGAGCACGCUUAGGCGUGUGACUGCGUACCUUUUGUAUAAUGGGUCAGCGACUUAUAUUCUGUAGCAAGGUUAACCGAAUAGGGGAGCCGAAGGGAAACCGAGUCUUAACUGGGCGUUAAGUUGCAGGGUAUAGACCCGAAACCCGGUGAUCUAGCCAUGGGCAGGUUGAAGGUUGGGUAACACUAACUGGAGGACCGAACCGACUAAUGUUGAAAAAUUAGCGGAUGACUUGUGGCUGGGGGUGAAAGGCCAAUCAAACCGGGAGAUAGCUGGUUCUCCCCGAAAGCUAUUUAGGUAGCGCCUCGUGAAUUCAUCUCCGGGGGUAGAGCACUGUUUCGGCAAGGGGGUCAUCCCGACUUACCAACCCGAUGCAAACUGCGAAUACCGGAGAAUGUUAUCACGGGAGACACACGGCGGGUGCUAACGUCCGUCGUGAAGAGGGAAACAACCCAGACCGCCAGCUAAGGUCCCAAAGUCAUGGUUAAGUGGGAAACGAUGUGGGAAGGCCCAGACAGCCAGGAUGUUGGCUUAGAAGCAGCCAUCAUUUAAAGAAAGCGUAAUAGCUCACUGGUCGAGUCGGCCUGCGCGGAAGAUGUAACGGGGCUAAACCAUGCACCGAAGCUGCGGCAGCGACGCUGAUGCGUUGUUGGGUAGGGGAGCGUUCUGUAAGCCUGCGAAGGUGUGCUGUGAGGCAUGCUGGAGGUAUCAGAAGUGCGAAUGCUGACAUAAGUAACGAUAAAGCGGGUGAAAAGCCCGCUCGCCGGAAGACCAAGGGUUCCUGUCCAACGUUAAUCGGGGCAGGGUGAGUCGACCCCUAAGGCGAGGCCGAAAGGCGUAGUCGAUGGGAAACAGGUUAAUAUUCCUGUACUUGGUGUUACUGCGAAGGGGGGACGGAGAAGGCUAUGUUGGCCGGGCGACGGUUGUCCCGGUUUAAGCGUGUAGGCUGGUUUUCCAGGCAAAUCCGGAAAAUCAAGGCUGAGGCGUGAUGACGAGGCACUACGGUGCUGAAGCAACAAAUGCCCUGCUUCCAGGAAAAGCCUCUAAGCAUCAGGUAACAUCAAAUCGUACCCCAAACCGACACAGGUGGUCAGGUAGAGAAUACCAAGGCGCUUGAGAGAACUCGGGUGAAGGAACUAGGCAAAAUGGUGCCGUAACUUCGGGAGAAGGCACGCUGAUAUGUAGGUGAGGUCCCUCGCGGAUGGAGCUGAAAUCAGUCGAAGAUACCAGCUGGCUGCAACUGUUUAUUAAAAACACAGCACUGUGCAAACACGAAAGUGGACGUAUACGGUGUGACGCCUGCCCGGUGCCGGAAGGUUAAUUGAUGGGGUUAGCGCAAGCGAAGCUCUUGAUCGAAGCCCCGGUAAACGGCGGCCGUAACUAUAACGGUCCUAAGGUAGCGAAAUUCCUUGUCGGGUAAGUUCCGACCUGCACGAAUGGCGUAAUGAUGGCCAGGCUGUCUCCACCCGAGACUCAGUGAAAUUGAACUCGCUGUGAAGAUGCAGUGUACCCGCGGCAAGACGGAAAGACCCCGUGAACCUUUACUAUAGCUUGACACUGAACAUUGAGCCUUGAUGUGUAGGAUAGGUGGGAGGCUUUGAAGUGUGGACGCCAGUCUGCAUGGAGCCGACCUUGAAAUACCACCCUUUAAUGUUUGAUGUUCUAACGUUGACCCGUGAUCCGGGUUGCGGACAGUGUCUGGUGGGUAGUUUGACUGGGGCGGUCUCCUCCUAAAGAGUAACGGAGGAGCACGAAGGUUGGCUAAUCCUGGUCGGACAUCAGGAGGUUAGUGCAAUGGCAUAAGCCAGCUUGACUGCGAGCGUGACGGCGCGAGCAGGUGCGAAAGCAGGUCAUAGUGAUCCGGUGGUUCUGAAUGGAAGGGCCAUCGCUCAACGGAUAAAAGGUACUCCGGGGAUAACAGGCUGAUACCGCCCAAGAGUUCAUAUCGACGGCGGUGUUUGGCACCUCGAUGUCGGCUCAUCACAUCCUGGGGCUGAAGUAGGUCCCAAGGGUAUGGCUGUUCGCCAUUUAAAGUGGUACGCGAGCUGGGUUUAGAACGUCGUGAGACAGUUCGGUCCCUAUCUGCCGUGGGCGCUGGAGAACUGAGGGGGGCUGCUCCUAGUACGAGAGGACCGGAGUGGACGCAUCACUGGUGUUCGGGUUGUCAUGCCAAUGGCACUGCCCGGUAGCUAAAUGCGGAAGAGAUAAGUGCUGAAAGCAUCUAAGCACGAAACUUGCCCCGAGAUGAGUUCUCCCUGACUCCUUGAGAGUCCUGAAGGAACGUUGAAGACGACGACGUUGAUAGGCCGGGUGUGUAAGCGCAGCGAUGCGUUGAGCUAACCGGUACUAAUGAACCGUGAGGCUUAACCUUACAACGCCGAAGGUGUUU
rnacentral:rRNA from 1 species